UACGUAGGUGGCAAGCGUUGUCCGGGAUUAUUGGGCGUAAAGCGCGCGCAGGUGGUUCCUUAAGUCUGAUGUGAAAGCCCACGGCUCAACCGUGGAGGGGCAUUGGAAACUGGGGAACUUGAGUGCAGAAGAGGAAAGUGGAAUUCCAAGUGUAGCGGUGAAAUGCGUAGAGAUUUGGAGGAACACCAGUGGCGAAGGCGACUUUCUGGUCUGUAACUGGCACUGAGGUGCGAAAGGGUGGUGAUCAACGAGG
rnacentral:rRNA from 1 species